GCGGUCGUGGCGGAAUGGCAGACGCGUACGUUUGAGGGGCGUAUGGGCAACCGUAUGGGUUCAAGUCCCAUCGUCCGCACCA
rnacentral:tRNA from 1 species